GAUGAAGAACGUAGCGAAAGGCGAUAAGUAGUGUGAAUUGCAGAAUUCAGUGAAUCAUCGAAUCUUUGAACGCACAUUGCGCCCCUUGGUAUCCCGAGGGGCAUGCCUGUUCGAGCGUCAUUUCACCACUCAAGCCUGGCUUGGUGUUGGGCGACGUCCUCUUUGGGGACGCGCCUCGAAACGCUCGGCGGCGUGGCACCGGCUUUAAGCGUAGCAGAAUCUUUCGCUUUGGAAGUCGGGGCCCCGUCUGCCGGAAGACCUGCUCGCAAGGUUGACCUCGGAUCAGGCAGGGAUACCCGCUGAACUUAAGCAUAUCAAUAAGCGGAGGA
rnacentral:misc_RNA from 1 species